rnacentral:rRNA from 1 species
GGGGGGACGGAGAAGGCUAUGUUGGCCGGGCGACGGUUGUCCCGGUUUAAGCGUGUAGGCUGGUUUUCCAGGCAAAUCCGGAAAAUCAAGGCUGAGGCGUGAUGACGAGGCACUACGGUGCUGAAGCAACAAAUGCCCUGCUUCCAGGAAAAGCCUCUAAGCAUCAGGUAACAUCAAAUCGUACCCCAAACCGACACAGGUGGUCAGGUAGAGAAUACCAAGGCGCUUGAGAGAACUCGGGUGAAGGAACUAGGCAAAAUGGUGCCGUAACUUCGGGAGAAGGCACGCUGAUAUGUAGGUGAAGUCCCUUGCGGAUGGAGCUGAAAUCAGUCGAAGAUACCAGCUGGCUGCAACUGUUUAUUAAAAACACAGCACUGUGCAAACACGAAAGUGGACGUAUACGGUGUGACGCCUGCCCGGUGCCGGAAGGUUAAUUGAUGGGGUCAGCGCAAGCGAAGCUCUUGAUCGAAGCCCCGGUAAACGGCGGCCGUAACUAUAACGGUCCUAAGGUAGCGAAAUUCCUUGUCGGGUAAGUUCCGACCUGCACGAAUGGCGUAAUGAUGGCCAGGCUGUCUCCACCCGAGACUCAGUGAAAUUGAACUCGCUGUGAAGAUGCAGUGUACCCGCGGCAAGACGGAAAGACCCCGUGAACCUUUACUAUAGCUUGACACUGAACAUUGAGCCUUGAUGUGUAGGAUAGGUGGGAGGCUUUGAAGUGUGGACGCCAGUCUGCAUGGAGCCGGCCUUGAAAUACCACCCUUUAAUGUUUGAUGUUCUAACGUGGACCCGUGAUCCGGGUUGCGGACAGUGUCUGGUGGGUAGUUUGACUGGGGCGGUCUCCUCCUAAAGAGUAACGGAGGAGCACGAAGGUUGGCUAAUCCUGGUCGGACAUCAGGAGGUUAGUGCAAUGGCAUAAGCCAGCUUGACUGCGAGCGUGACGGCGCGAGCAGGUGCGAAAGCAGGUCAUAGUGAUCCGGUGGUUCUGAAUGGAAGGGCCAUCGCUCAACGGAUAAAAGGUACUCCGGGGAUAACAGGCUGAUACCGCCCAAGAGUUCAUAUCGACGGCGGUGUUUGGCACCUCGAUGUCGGCUCAUCACAUCCUGGGGCUGAAGUAGGUCCCAAGGGUAUGGCUGUUCGCCAUUUAAAGUGGUACGCGAGCUGGGUUUAGAACGUCGUGAGACAGUUCGGUCCCUAUCUGCCGUGGGCGCUGGAGAACUGAGGGGGGCUGCUCCUAGUACGAGAGGACCGGAGUGGACGCAUCACUGGUGUUCGGGUUGUCAUGCCAAUGGCACUGCCCGGUAGCUAAAUGCGGAAGAGAUAAGUGCUGAAAGCAUCUAAGCACGAAACUUGCCCCGAGAUGAGUUCUCCCUGACCCUUUAAGGGUCCUGAAGGAACGUUGAAGACGACGACGUUGAUAGGCCGGGUGUGUAAGCGCAGCGAUGCGUUGAGCUAACCGGUACUAAUGAACCGUGAGGCUUAACCUUACAACGCCGAAG